rfam:Ictidomys tridecemlineatus contig007930, whole genome shotgun sequence.
AGGGCUGUAGCUCAGUGGCAGAGCACAUGCCUAGCAUGCAUGAGGCAAUGGGUUCUAUCCUCAGCACCA